GCCGAGGUGAUGUAUUGCAAAAUAGCCAACAUACAACAAUUAAAGGAUAAUUGCAGCCUAUAUCCUGAUGAAGAUAUGGAUGACCCUCUGUCUGGUCAACAGGAGUUUAAAUAUGAACGGGACAGUUAUGUGGCAGCUCUUCCCUGGCUCAUUCACCUCUUGCCUUCAUUUGUGAAAGGAAGAAAGACUGGAGAGGGUCAAUGUGCAUCUGAAGCUACUGAUUGUGCUGUGUGAUGAGCAUCAAUCCAUGCUUUGAGGGGGAUGAAUCAGCACAGCCCUGCCUGCUCUGCGUUGGGAACAAAAGUUGCAUCCAGAAUUUUUGCAUCAUUCUGGACCAAAAAGCCAUUCCCUCCAUGAUGAAGACCACUGAUGCAGCCUUCCACUACUGUACAGUAAAACAACUACAGAACUAAAUACCAGGUUGGAACGUGUUUAAGAAAAAUGAAACGUCUUUUGAAUUGAAAUGUCUGUUUUGUUAUGGAAAAAUCUUUAGUAUUGUGAAGGAUAAGCAUUUCUGCUUGCCGAUAAGGUAAUUGCAUGUAUUUUAAUGUUCAAGUUUUGAGUAGGGUGGCUAAUUUUUUUUAACUCUUAUUUGAUUUAUUAAAGACCUUAUAAUAAGUGGUUUUCAUGUCACUGCGCUGUGGUAUAAGAUAACUUUCAUUAUUCCAUACUGUAUUCUGUUUCUAAUUGUAGCUGAGGUAUUUAAAUAAGCAGUGUUAAAUGCAAAGUGUUGUGUGUAUCAAUGUAAAUAUUAAAUGUGAUUUACUUUAAUAAAAAGAGGUUUUGCAAUAUUUCUUGUCAUUUUUCUUUUAUAGAAACAACCCAUUAGCAACAAAAGUGGCUAUUACUCCAGUAUUUUAACACUU